GUGACACCCCACCCCACCUGACAGCACAGAGGAAAAGCCCAAGUCUAGAGGAGAUGAAGGGGCUAGUCCGGGCUCCACCGUGACCUGGCUGCUGGCACUGGGAUCGCUAAGCAGCCGGCAGAUCUGGGUCGUCCUUCCUUCCCCGCGCCCUAGUGAUCUCUUGCUGUUUAUCCUUGUUGCCCAGUUCCACAAUGGAGGCUACACUUGGCUCAAAGGUGAGCGAAAGA
rnacentral:lncRNA from 12 species